UUUAUAUUUUGUAUAAUAUUAAGGGUUAUGUCUGAUUAUAUUAUGAACAGUGUUUUUCUUACUCUUAAAGUUGUAGCACUACUCUAUUAUUAUAAUUUUAUAAAUUUCUUUCUGUAGUGGUUUUAAAGGAUGCUGAGUUAGAUGCUACCGGUUCCUCUUCCUCUGUGGAAUACGAAGAAAGUCCGCAGGCAACUGAAACCGAAGCUGUUGAAGACGUUCCUGAAGUCGAAAAUUUCGACAAUACCAAUCAAAUUGUAAUACUUCCUUCUAUGCACAAUGCGGAAAAGGAAUCAGAGUUGGGGACCAAGGCCUGCACUUUAAAUGAACCCUCAGUAUCGGAUUCUCGACCCAAGAAACGAAAGAAAGUUUCAAUUGAUGAAUUACAAAGAAUGCAGUAUGAGGUUUUAUGUUGUCAAAAGACACACAUCGGACUCAAGAAUGUGAAGAUUCAGAAGGACAUUGAGCGGUCAGAACUUAAAACUGAAAACUUGAGGCUGC